UGGUUCUCCCCGAAAGCUAUUUAGGUAGCGCCUCGUGAAUUCAUCUCCGGGGGUAGAGCACUGUUUCGGCUAGGGGGCCAUCCCGGCUUACCAACCCGAUGCAAACUGCGAAUACCGGAGAAUGUUAUCACGGGAGACACACGGCGGGUGCUAACGUCCGUCGUGAAGAGGGAAACAACCCAGACCGCCAGCUAAGGUCCCAAAGUCAUGGUUAAGUGGGAAACGAUGUGGGAAGGCCCAGACAGCCAGGAUGUUGGCUUAGAAGCAGCCAUCAUUUAAAGAAAGCGUAAUAGCUCACUGGUCGAGUCGGCCUGCGCGGAAGAUGUAACGGGGCUAAACCAUGCACCGAAGCUGCGGCAGCGAACGUAUCACCCAAGACAACUUUACGGAGUUGACGAUUGACGGAGCGAAGCGACGUCAAAGCGUUCAUUAAAGUCGAGUUGGCUUAGGGAUACGUUCGUUGGGUAGGGGAGCGUUCUGUAAGCCUGUGAAGGUGUGUCGUGAGGCAUGCUGGAGGUAUCAGAAGUGCGAAUGCUGACAUAAGUAACGAUAAAGCGGGUGAAAAGCCCGCUCGCCGGAAGACCAAGGGUUCCUGUCCAACGUUAAUCGGGGCAGGGUGAGUCGACCCCUAAGGCGAGGCCGAAAGGCGUAGUCGAUGGGAAACGGGUUAAUAUUCCCGUACUUGGUGUUACUGCGAAGGGGGGACGGAGAAGGCUAUGUUGGCCGGGCGACGGUUGUCCCGGUUUAAGCGUGUAGGUGUGUGUUCCAGGUAAAUCCGGUU
rnacentral:rRNA from 2 species